AACGCUAGCUACAGGCUUAACACAUGCAUGUCGAGGGGCAGCAUUGGAGUAGCAAUACUUCAGAUGGCGACCGGCGCACGGGUGAGUAACACGUAUCCAACCUGCCGCUUACUCGGGGAUAGCCUUUCGAAAGAAAGAUUAAUACCCGAUGGUAUAAAGAGUUCGCAUGUUCUCUUUAUUAAAGAAUUUCGGUAAGCGAUGGGGAUGCGUUCCAUUAGAUAGUUGGCGGGGUAACGGCCCACCAAGUCUACGAUGGAUAGGGGUUCUGAGAGGAAGGUCCCCCACAUUGGAACUGAGACACGGUCCAAACUCCUACGGGAGGCAGCAGUGAGGAAUAUUGGUCAAUGGACGAGAGUCUGAACCAGCCAAGUAGCGUGAAGGAUGACUGCCCUAUGGGUUGUAAACUUCUUUUAUAAGGGAAUAAAGUGAGGGACGUGUCCCUUUUUGUAUGUACCUUAUGAAUAAGGAUCGGCUAACUCCGUGCCAGCAGCCGCGGUAAUACGGAGGAUCCAAGCGUUAUCCGGAUUUAUUGGGUUUAAAGGGAGCGUAGGUUGACAUAUAAGUCAGCUGUGAAAGUUUACGGCUCAACCGUGAAAUUGCAGUUGAUACUGUAUGUCUUGAGUGUACAAGAGGUGGGCGGAAUUCGUGGUGUAGCGGUGAAAUGCUUAGAUAUCACGAAGAACUCCGAUUG
rnacentral:rRNA from 1 species